rnacentral:lncRNA from 1 species
AGGACAUCCUCUGAUUUUUGUAUAAAGUAGUUUUUGUUUUCUCUUUUUUGGUGCUGGGGAUUGAACCCAGGGCCUUGUGCAUACAAGGCAAGCGCUCUACCAACUGAGCUACAUCCUUAGCCCUCCAAGUAUUUAAUAGCCACUUGAUGCUACUGGCUACCUUGUUGGCUGUACAGGACAUUUUUAUCAUUGUAGGACGUCCUCUCCAACAGUGCUGACGUGGGAACAUGUAUCUCUUGCAACAGUAAACUUUUUUUUUUUUAAACCUCUGAACCACAUCCCUAGCCCUUUUUAUUUUUUAUUUUGAUACAGGAUCUGGCAAGGUUGCUUAAGGCCUUGCUAAAAUUGCUUCAGCUGACCUCAAACUUGCAAUCCCGCCUCAACCUCCCCAGUUGCUGGAAUUAAAAGAUUUGUGACAGGGCACCCAGUCCACUAGUAAAACAUUCAAAAAAAAUUUUUUUUAUUUGUAGUUGGACACAAUACCUUUAUUUUAUUUACCCAUUUUUAUGUGGUGCUGAGAAUUGAACCCAGUACUUCACACAUGGUAGGCAAGCACUCUACCACCAAUCCAUAUCCCCAGCUCUACCACUGAUGAAUUUUGCAGUCAGGUAUGGUGAGGUGCCUAGAGUUCUAGGUACUAGGGAGAUUGAAGCAGGAGGAUUGCUUGAGCCCAGGAUUUGAACAACCUUGGCUUUGUAGUGAGACUCAUCUAGGAAUACAAACUGUUUUGAGCAUAUAUCCUUGAUAAAUGUAGAGUCUAAUGGAAAGCUGUAUACCUGUGUUAUUUUUUUCAGGUUCCCUUCACCUUUAAUGUGAGGUUCAGUCAUUAACAAUGGUGGGUGAAAAUGCUUGUGUUUAUUUUACAUUUCCCUCCAAUGUGCUCAAUAAAGGGUCUAUAC